CCUACGGGGGGCAGCAGUGGGGAAUAUUGGACAAUGGGCGAAAGCCUGAUCCAGCCAUGCCGCGUGUGUGAAGAAGGCCUUCGGGUUGUAAAGCACUUUCAGUGGGGAAGAAAGCCUUGGGGCUAAUACCCUCGAGGAAGGACAUCACCCACAGAAGAAGCACCGGCUAACUCCGUGCCAGCAGCCGCGGUAAUACGGAGGGUGCGAGCGUUAAUCGGAAUUACUGGGCGUAAAGCGCGCGUAGGCGGUCUGAUAAGCCGGUUGUGAAAGCCCCGGGCUCAACCUGGGAACGGCAUCCGGAACUGUCAGGCUAGAGUGCAGGAGAGGAAGGUAGAAUUCCCGGUGUAGCGGUGAAAUGCGUAGAGAUCGGGAGGAAUACCAGUGGCGAAGGCGGCCUUCUGGACUGACACUGACGCUGAGGUGCGAAAGCGUGGGAAGCAAACAGGAUUAGAUACCCGUGUAGUC
rnacentral:rRNA from 1 species